GAAGUAGGACGGUUGAUCGCGAGUAGGCAUACUUGGCCUAUUUUGAGGAAAGUCCGGACUCUAAGGGCAAGAUACUGGUUAACAACCAGAGGGAGUGAUCCCUGAAUAGGGCCAUAGAAAAGAAGACCGCCGAAAGGCAAGGGUGGAACGGUGAGGUAAGAGCUCACCAGUGUCAGAGCGAUCUGACAGCUUGGUAACCUCUAUCUUGAGCAAGGUCAAGCAAGAAGGCCAGAGGUUUGCCCGCCGAGAGACUUGAGUGUCCGCCUUCUGGGUAGACCGCGUAGAUUAAUGGUCAACUUGACAGAAUCCGGCUUAUAGUCCUACUGAUAUA
rnacentral:RNase_P_RNA from 1 species